AUACGAGUGGUGCAAGCGUUAUUCGGAAUUAUUGGGCGUACAGGGUGCGUAGACGGUAUGUUAAGUCUGCUGUUAAAUUCUCCGGCUUAACCGGAGAUCUGCGGUGGAAACUGGCGUACUAGAGGGUGGAAGAGAGAAGUGGAAUUCUCGGUGUAGCGGUAAAAUGCGUAGAUAUCGAGAGGAACACCGAUGGCGAAGGCAGCUUCUUGGUCCAUUCCUGACGUUGAGGCACGAAAGCGUGGGGAGCAAACAGGAUUAGAUACCCUGGUAGUCCACGCUGUAAACGAUGAUCACUAGAUGUCAGUUCUGUUUACAGAAUUGGUAUCGCAGCUAACGCGUUAAGUGAUCCGCCUGGGGAAUACGGUCGCAAGAUUAAA
rnacentral:rRNA from 1 species